CCGGUGUGGAUAUACACUCAGAGUAACAUCACAAACAUCAUAUUUUUAACAGUUUAAAAAAUGAUCCUCUUUAAUAUUAAGCCCCCUUUACAUGAGAACCGGAAUGAAAAUUGGAAUUGUCAACAUGUUUACAUGAGACCGGUACGAAAGUCACAAAAUUUUCAAUUUAUUCCCCUUGCUAGGCAACUCUCUUUUUUAGAUGGCUU